rnacentral:rRNA from 1 species
CCUACGGGAGGCUGCAGUGGGGAAUAUUGGACAAUGGGGGGAACCCUGAUCCAGCGACGCCGCGUGAGUGAAGAAGUAUUUCGGUAUGUAAAGCUCUAUCAGUAGGGAAGAACGAAAUGACGGUACCUGACUAAGACGCCCCGGCUAACUACGGGCCAGCAGCCGCGGUAAUACGUAGGGGGCACGCGUUAUCCGGAUUUACUGGGUGUAAAGGGAGCGUAGACGGCGAUGCAAGUCUGAAGUGAAAGGCGGGGGCCCAACCCCCGGACGGCUUUGGAAACUGUAUGGCUUGAGUGCAGGAGAGGUGAGUGGAAUUCCUAGGGUAGCGGUGAAAUGCGUAGAUAUUAGGAGGAACACCAGUGGCGAAGGCGGCUGACUGGACUGUAACUGACGUUGAGGCUCGAAAGCGUGGGGAGCAAACAGGAGUAGAUACCCGAGUAGUC